rnacentral:rRNA from 1 species
AAACUUCACACUGGGGGCAACCCCGAUGAGGGAAUUCCUAGUGCCAGGGCCUCUGGUCCUGGCUUUUCUCCGGCGUAGACGACCGGAGGAAUAAGGGCUGGGUAAGACGGGUGCCAGCCGCCGCGGUAAUACCUGCAGCCCGAGUGGUGGUCGAUUUUAUUGAGUCUAAAACGUUCGUAGCCGGCCCGGUAAAUCCCUGGGUAAAUCGGGAAGCUCAACUUCCCGAAUUCCGGGGAGACUGCCGGGCUUGGGACCGGGAGAGGCUAGAGGUACUUCUGGGGUAGGGGUAAAUCCUGUAAUCCUGGAAGGACCACCGGUGGCGAAGGCGUCUAGCUAGAACGGAUCCGACGGUGAGGGACGAAGCCCUGGGUCGCAAACGGGAUUAGAUACCCCGGUAGUCUAGGGUGUAAACGCUGCAGACUAGGUGUUGGAGGCCCUACGGGGGCACCCAGUGCCCGAGAGAAGUUGUUAAGUCUGCUACUUGGGGAGUACGUCCGCAAGGAUGAAACUUAAAGGAAUU